CAAAUAUAUUGGUCUCACAUUUGC
rnacentral:siRNA from 1 species